AGACCAAAUGAAGAAUUAAAUUUUUCCUUCUUUUUGCUAUGUGAAAUUACCAGAUUGUCCUUAUCCCAUUGUGAUAUAAUUCCUUCUCUUUUCCUUUCUCCAGCAGAUUUGUGCGUGAGUCAAGAGAGCUGUAGACUUCACCAGAAACUUCGAACCCUUUUCGUUCAGCCCUUCACCCAUUAUCAUCAUCCCUGUCGUUAAACUACUCGACGGUGACCUUGGGAGCGAAAAAAUCCACCAUGGGAGACGUUCAGUGACUGGUUGUUCUCCCCUGUUUUCGCUUCGUUCUUCCUUAUCUUGCUGUCCAUGAACUGUGCGAACGUUCCAAGCUUCCUUGUCGUUUGUCUUUCGUCCAUCUCAAGUGCUGUGAGUUCGCCGGAAGUCUUUUGCUCUUCUCACGUUGGAGUCGUGCAGCGAACCUUCUCUCUUCUUCUUCUUCCUUUCAGUUCGUUAUACAGAGCUGUGACUCAUCUUGCUUCCUUGUUCGGUCUCAGUUGAGCGAGUGUUUUGUCUUCCUCUAUUCCUUGCAUCAGCUGGAGAAUUCCAUUUUCUCUCCCUGUUCUGCUGUAGGUUCUGUCUUCUUCGUUACCUUUGCUGUUAUUGUUGUUUCAGGACGCGUGGAGGAAGAGGAUCCCGAUAGAAAUUAAAUAAAUAAUAUUUUGGAGAUUUGAAAUCACAACAGAUUGGUUAGCUGACGCCGAUUUCAUCAACGACCUCAAAAAGGGCAACUAACUAUAGUGGGUGGACAUUUUGAUUGGUAUUGUUGCUUUAAUGUAAAUACAUAAAUUGUAUGUCUUUUUGAUUUGAAAGAAAUAGCAGAUGCUCCACAUAGAUUGUUGAUAAAUUUUAUUUUGGUCUGUAUAUUGGUUGUUGGCUGGAAGGAGCUACGCUCCUGAUUUAUACUGAUAUUUGUAAAAUUUUUAUUGUAGAAUUUUCAGGAGAUCCUAGUUACAGGGGAGGUUCUGCCGAAAUUUCUACAAAAACGUUGACACUUUCUUAUGACAAUGAAUUUAAAGAAGUUAUUUUAAUUUUUAUAUGAUUUGAUUGAAUUUUAUUCUUCUCUUGAAAAAUGAAAUAAAUAUUCAUUUGGAGGCUUACGGGAAGGUGAGAAUGGUUCACACCCGUGCCGGUC